CCCUACGGGGCGCAGCAGGCGCGAAAACUUUACAAUGCGGGAAACCGUGAUAAGGGAACCCCGAGUGCCCGUAAAUUCGGGCUGUCCAUCAGCGUAAAUAACUGGUGAAGAAAGGGCCGGGCAAGACCGGUGCCAGCCGCCGCGGUAAUACCGGCGGCUCGAGUGGUGGCCACUAUUAUUGGGCUUAAAGCGUCCGUAGCUUGGUUGUUAAGUCUCUUGGGAAAUCUACCGGCUCAACCGGUAGGCGUUCAGGAGAUACUGGCAAUCUAGGGACCGGGAGAGGU
rnacentral:rRNA from 1 species